UACGUAUGGUGCAAGCGUUAUCCGGAAUUACUGGGUGUAAAGGGAGCGUAGACGGUGAUGUAAGUCUGGAGUGAAAGGCGGGGGCCCAACCCCCGGACUGCUCUGGAAACUAUGUGACUGGAGUGCAGGAGAGGUGAGCGGAAUUCCUAGUGUAGCGGUGAAAUGCGUAGAUAUUAGGAGGAACACCAGUGGCGAAGGCGGCUCACUGGACUGUAACUGACGUUGAGGCUCGAAAGCGUGGGGAGCAAACAGG
rnacentral:rRNA from 1 species